rnacentral:lncRNA from 1 species
GAGCAUGUAGACCACUACGACGGCAAUACAAUGGUGGUGCUUAAGAAAACAGGAAUACAUCAUUUCAUAAGUGGAAAAAAGCGUCAUUGCAGGUUGGGUUUAAAGCUAGCUGUUGUUGUUAUGGUAGCUCCCGUACUUUCUUCCCCUCCUCCGCCGCCUUCACCACCCACGCCUCGGUCAUCAACUCCAAUUCCUCAUCCUCCGAGACGUUCACUGCCUUCACCUCCUUCACCGUCACCAUCACCUUCACCAUCACCAUCACCAUCACCAUCACCUCGGUCAACUCCAAUUCCUCAUCCUCGGAAACGUUCACCAGCUUCACCAUCACCAUCACCAUCACUGUCAAAGUCGCCUUCACCCUCCGAGUCACCAUCACUGGCACCGUCACCUUCAGAUUCAGUAG